CAAUGGGGGAAACCCUGAUGCAGCGACGCCGCGUGGAGGAAGAAGGUCUUCGGCAANANAAACUCCUGNAUGNUGGGGAAGAUAAUGACGGUACCCAACAUUNCAAGUGACGGCUAACUACGUGCCAGCAGCCGCGGUAAAACGUAGGUCACAAGCGUUGUCCGGAAUUACUGGGUGUAAAGGGAGCGCAGGCGGGAGAACAAGUUGGAAGUGAAAUCCAUGGGCUCAACCCAUGAACUGCUUUCAAAACUGUUUUUCUUGAGUAGUGCAGAGGUAGGCGGAAUUCCCGGUGUAGCGGUGGAAUGCGUAGAUAUCGGGAGGAACACCAGUGGCGAAGGCGGCCUACUGGGCACCAACUGACGCUGAGGCUCGAAAGUGUGGGUAGCAAACAGGAUUAGAUACCCUGGUAGUCCAAGGGCGAAUUC
rnacentral:rRNA from 1 species